rnacentral:rRNA from 1 species
UUCGCAAUGCCCGAAAGGGUGACGAUGCGACGCCGCGUGAGCGAAGAAGGCCCUAGGGUUGUAAAGCUCUGUCGAGGGUCAUGAAAUAUAGAUGGGUUAAUACCCCAUUUAUUUGACAAAAGCCCAAAAGGAAGCCACGGCUAACUCUGUGCCAGCAGCCGCGGUAAUACAGAGGUGGCGAGCGUUGUUCGGUAUUAUUGGGCGUAAAGAGCACGUAGGUGGUUUUGUAAGUCAGGUGUGAAAGCCUUCUGUUCAAAGGAAGAACGGCAUCUGAAACUGCAGAUCUUGAGUGUAGGAGGGGAGAGUGGAACUUCUGGUGGAGCGGUGAAAUGCGUAGAUAUCAGAGGGAACGUCGGCGGCGAAAGCGACUCUCUGGCCUAUUACUGACACUGAGGUGCGAAAGUUAGGGGAGCAAACGGGAUUAGAUACCCCGGUAGUCCUAACCGUAAACGAUGGGCACUAAGUAGAGGGGUUUU